rnacentral:lncRNA from 10 species
CAGGACAAGGAAGAUUAAAUGAACCACCACAAAUGAAGUGCUUAGAAGAAAACAUGGCACAUGGAUCUAGGGAAUCAAAGAAGAUUAAAGCUGUAAUCCCUUAUCAUCGAGAAACUCUCAUCUUCAUGAUACAUAAACAGAUGAUUACUUUCCCCCACAGCUUGCAAAGUUGAGUCUUCAAGUAAGACAAGUGCAAAGAAAGAAAUUUGGAACAGCAGACUGUUUCUGUUGAAUCUGUGGAUACGGAGGGCGGGCCAACUGUACUUACAAGAUCACAGGAACAGGGAAAUACAGAGAGGUAAAUCUUGUACCAGCACUUGAAGCUUCCACUUCGAAGUGAUUCACAUCACUUCUGUUGAUAAUUCACUGGACAAAGUGAGUCAGACGGGCAAGCCUCAUUUCCAGGGGGCAGAGAAGUACAGUCAUCUGUCUGGGAGGAGAGGAAUGAGAAAGAGUUGAUGAACAGUACCGAAACUACUCCAAUGCCUGAACAGGCUAAAGCAGAGUGUAGAUCCUGAUUCAGUGGGGGCAUGGCCGUGAACUCAUAAUGCAGUUUGCAGACACAGCUGAGAGACACAAACAGAACUAUCACAUGCUUUCCCCACCAAGACUCGACUCAUUCCAGUUGAGGAAGAGCAUGCACUGAGAAGAUGCCCAGAGAAACAUCAUCAUUUACAAAAAUUGUCAUUACAAAGUAUUUCCUACUCUUCAGAUUAUGUGAACCAAGAGCAAUUAUGUGAUUGCAUGGUAUGGUGGAAACAAACUCCCCCUGUGUUUCUGUCCAGGCUUGGCAUAACCAAACUUUAGGACCAUUUUCAUCUCCAGAAAAAAGUCUCCAUGCAAGAAUUCUUAUUCUUAAUCCACAGUUCAUAAAAUUUUAUCAAGUGUCAACAUUAAAACCC